AUCUUCUGUUAAGAGAUUGCAUUGUGACAAAGAAUGUGUGUGUUUGUGCGGAUGUAGUUUGUGUUUGUUUGUUUUUCUCUAUCUCUUUCUCUGUGUAGAUACAAAUAUUUGGGUAGUAAACAAAAGAACCAUAGUGACAGCAACAAAUCUGAAAACAAAACUGUAAUUUUUCUGAGGUGAAGUAAUCCGGAGUCAUUUAUUUCACAGAAUCACGUUAAAUGCAUUUAUGGUGAAAUUCAUUAUGAGGGGUGGUGGUCAACUUAAAAAGAAGCCAUUCAAAGCUAUACUAUGUAAUUCAAGGUAAUUUUGGCCUUAUGACAUUGCAAAAAUCUCUUGUUCCUUGUCUAUUUUUUCAUUUAUGUAAUUUUUAUUUUCUCUAUUUAGUGGACUUCUCUGUAAGAACAUCAGGUUUUACCAGAAAUACCACUUUUACAAAGUUUACAGGGUCUUUCUCAAGGGCACCGCUAAUCUAACAUAUAUUCUUUGUCACAAUCUAGACUCUUCAUAGAAGAUGAAGACUUGCCAUGAUCAAGAAUACCAGCUAUUUGCUGAAGUUCAUCUUCCAAACGAACAGCAUGGAGUACAGUACUCAUCAGAUGCUGUGAACAGGUGUAGCCCAAAUGCAACAGAUUCAGACUUUGAUGCAGCAAUGGCAGAUCACCUGAAGCACACUGGGGUUGAUGGAUACUUGUUUUAUGGCUGUUUUAACAGUAAUACAAGACUGUUAGGAAAUAAUUUGGUAGUGCCAUAGCUCUGACUUUUAACCAUUAAUGGUGGAACACAUGAAUCACACUCCCGGAAGAGCCGGUGGUCGGGGACCAAGAAAAUGAGUAAACAUUUUGAAAAAAAUGGACUAAAGUAGUGUCAUAUGUUUUUGUAAUACUGUACUUUUGUCAUUUUCAUGUUUGAUUAAUGGCUGCUAAACAUCAAUGUUAAACUCCAUUGCUUUCGAGAUUCUACUAUUUUUAUUUUCUUGUUUGAAUAGUAGCUGUCAAACAAAUGGAAGACCAUUCAAAAAUGUGAUGUUCACUAUAAAAUAUGCUGUGCUAAAUUAAAACACUAAAUUUUGCCUAAAUCCACAAAUAAAGUGUUAUUGUUUGUGAUGUGCA